rnacentral:rRNA from 1 species
AGCGAACGCUGGCGGCAGGCCUAACACAUGCGAGUCGAACGAAGUCUUCGGACUUAGUGGCGGACGGGUGAGUAACACGUGGGAACGUGCCUUUAGGUUCGGAAUAACUCAGGGAAACUUGUGCUAAUACCGAAUGUGCCCUUCGGGGGAAAGAUUUAUCGCCUUUAGAGCGGCCCGCGUCUGAUUAGCUAGUUGGUGAGGUAAAGGCUCACCAAGGCGACGAUCAGUAGCUGGUCUGAGAGGAUGAUCAGCCACAUUGGGACUGAGACACGGCCCAAACUCCUACGGGAGGCAGCAGUGGGUAAUCUUGCGCAAUGGGCGAAAGCCUGACGCAGCCAUGCCGCGUGAAUGAUGAAGGUCUUAGGAUUGUAAAAUUCUUUCACCGGGGACGAUAAUGACGGUACCCGGAGAAGAAGCCCCGGCUAACUUCGUGCCAGCCGCCGCAGUAACAC